AGAAGAUACCCAAUAUACAAUUUCAAUUAACUAGAAGAUACAUUAUUAAGUUCAUUAUUACACAUAAAUUAGACCCCAAGAAAACCUGCAUAUAUGGAAACAUGAAAGAACAAAUCAACUAUUGACACUAUUACUUCUAAAUAGUUUAUGUGUAACUUAAUGGAAUAUUGUAGAUGGGUAAAUAACGAGCCCAUGAAGACUCCAAGAAGGGAAUACAACCUUCAUUGGAACUCAGAACCAGAUCAAAGUAUUGCACACAACCAAUUCAACCAUCAUAUAGUAUUUAGGAAUAGCUAGAUAAUAACAUGAAAGUUAAGAGUCUAAUCAAAAUAGAAUUUAUUUCCACUUAUACAAUCCAUGAUUUGUUGUCUGCAAAGUCUCCUUCUCCCUUCUUUUGAUAGUGUACACGUUCGAACAACUGUGAAGCAGCAAGUAGCUUGUCUAAUUUCUCGUGCCAGAAACAAGCAAUAAAUGAAAAGUUUAGUUUAAAAGAUUCUUGAUAAGAAAUAAAUCAAACAUCAUUUCAUGCAUACUGUAUAUAAAUUGUUCGUAUUGAAGUCAUGAUUUCUCAAUGAUGUUGUAAAACAGAAAUUGGUAUUUAAUCCUUGUAUAGAAAGUACUGAUGCAGACAAGAAGAAUUAGUUAAAAUCUAUCAGUAAAAUGAUUUCUCUGUUGCACAAGCUUUCUUUGCUAAAUGUCAUAGACAACUGAUUAUUCUCUUGAUAGAUCAUUUGAUUUUUCAGAUAGAAUAUUCUAAAAUUAAAGACUGAAUAUGCAGAGUACAAAGAUAGACAUGCUGUUUUUUCCAACUUGAUUUUAGAUAGAACAUGCUAAAAAUAAAGACAGAACGUGAUGAUUUUUCCCAAAUUGAUUUCAGCCCGAACAAGCUAAAAAUAAAGACGGAACAUGCUGAUUUUUCCCACAUCUAAUAUAAAAUGCAUAGAGAAAGCUCUUCUAACGAAUGAACAAAUGAAAUUCUGGUAUAAAAUGAACAUAAUAUAUAGAAUAAGAUACUCAUAUGUAACAUGUCAAUUGUCUAUGCAAUUGAGUCAUGCAAGUUAAACAUUAUCAGCCUUUGCUUAUGGGCAGCAAUUGUUAUUUAAUAAACAACGUGCUUAUUGAUGGUUACUGACUUUACAGUCAGUCGAUUAUCACGGCCAAGUUUAGACUUCUUGCUUCUUUCAUUGUUCCAUUGUUUCUCAAUUAUCUCAUCCCAGUGCUCUACACUUAACCAUGGGGGUCUAUAUCCCUUUCAAUUAUUUAUAGUUUCAGACUUGCUAUUUCCCUUAGCCUUCUUUUGAGUAAAAAAAUAUAUAUCUCACAAUCGAUUAGUUAGGCGGUAUUCUAUGACUUAUACCCCUCGUUGUCUUUGUAUUUGGUCAUGAGCAUUGUUGCUAAUGUAGGUACCAACAAUUAGUAUGAAACAAACAACAUAA
rnacentral:lncRNA from 1 species